rnacentral:sRNA from 1 species
GGGUGCCUGCUGUGUGCUGGACCUGCUGGGCCCCAGGCAGGGCAUCCUUUAGACCCUCUGGGAGGCUCCAGCCCCUGCCUGCUGGAUCGCCAGGCCCCGGGGCUGCGAGAGCCUCACUGGCCGUGUCCCCACCCGACAGAGCACAACUCUAUGUGGGCGUCCCUGAGCAGCCCCGACGCCGAGGCUGUGGAGCCCGACUUCUCCAGCAUCGAGCGGCUGUUCUCAUUCCCUGCAGCCAAGCCCAAGGAGCCCACCGCAGCGGCCACCCGAGCCAGGAAGGAGCCCAAGGAGGUGGGGACGGGGAAGGGACUCAGACCGGGGCCGCCUGCCUGGCCACCCUCCGGUACCAGCCUGUUGGGUGGGGGGUUUUCUAGAUCACUUUCCUCGAUGCCAAGAAGAGCCUGAACCUCAACAUCUUCCUGAAGCAAUUUAAGUGCUCCAACGAGGAGGUCGCUGCUAUGAUCCGGGCCGGGGAUACCACCAAGUUUGAUGUGGAGGUUCUCAAACAACUCCUUAAGCUCCUUCCGGAGAAGCACGAGAUUGAAAACCUGCGGGCAUUCACAGAGGAGCGAGCCAAGCUGGCCAGCGCCGACCACUUCUACCUCCUCCUGCUGGCCAUUCCCUGCUACCAGCUGCGAAUCGAGUGCAUGCUGCUGUGUGAGGGCGCGGCCGCCGUGCUGGACAUGGUGCGGCCCAAGGCCCAGCUGGUGCUGGCUGCCUGCGAAAGCCUGCUCACCAGCCGCCAGCUGCCCAUCUUCUGCCAGCUGAUCCUGAGAAUUGGGAACUUCCUCAACUACGUAAGUCAGGAGCAGCUCCCCAUCCCACCUGGUGCCGGGGGCUGGCGAGACUCACUCCCUGCCCCUCCCAGGGCAGCCACACCGGUGACGCCGACGGCUUCAAGAUCAGCACAUUGCUGAAGCUCACGGAGACCAAGUCCCAGCAGAACCGCGUGACGCUGCUGCACCACGUGCUGGAGGAAGCGGAAAAGAGCCACCCCGACCUCCUGCAGCUG